rnacentral:lncRNA from 1 species
CUGGAUAAGUAUAAAUAUUUUUAAUUUAUUUUAUCUUAAUUUUUUCUGACCUUUGGUCUCUUAUUUUCCUGACCUUUGAAGAGAUGUGAUGCAAUGCCAAAAGAAGGAAGCCUGUAGGUUGCACUCUAACUCCCAAGUGAGGCCGAACUGAGUCAAUCCUUGCCUAACUAGCUUUCGUGUCCCCUUAGACACCAACCUGAAGUACAGCACCAAGGAGGGGCCGUCUUC